AGUGAACGCUGGCGGUAGGCCUAACACAUGCAAGUCGAACGGCAGCACAGUAAGAGCUUGCUCUUACGGGUGGCGAGUGGCGGACGGGUGAGGAAUACAUCGGAAUCUACUUUUUCGUGGGGGAUAACGUAGGGAAACUUACGCUAAUACCGCAUACGACCUACGGGUGAAAGCAGGGGAUCUUCGGACCUUGCGCGAUUGAAUGAGCCGAUGUCGGAUUAGCUAGUUGGCGGGGUAAAGUCCCACCAAGGCGACGAUCCGUAGCUGGUCUGAGAGGAUGAUCGGCCACACGGGACCUAGGCCACGGUCCAGACUCCUACGGGAGGCAGCAGUGGGGAAUAUUGGACAAUGGGCGCAAGCCUGAUCCAGCCAGACCGCGUGGGUGAAGAAGGCCUUCGGGUUGUAAAGCCCUUUUGUUGGGAAAGAAAAGCAGCAGGUUAAUACCCCGCUGUUCUGACGGUACCCAAAGAAUAAGCACCGGCAAACUUCGU
rnacentral:rRNA from 1 species